rnacentral:rRNA from 1 species
UAAGGAAUAUUGGACAAUGGGGGCAACCCUGAUCCAGCCAUGCCGCGUGAGUGAAGAGGGCCCUCGGGUUGUAAAGCUCUUUUGUCCGGAAAGAAAAGCUUCGGGUUAAUACCCCGGGGUUCUGACGGUACCGGAAGAAUAAGCACCGGCUAACUUCGUGCCAGCAGCCGCGGUAAUACGAAGGGUGCAAGCGUUACUCGGAAUUACUGGGCGUAAAGCGUGCGUAGGUGGUUGUUUAAGUCUGAUGUGAAAGCCCUGGGCUCAACCUGGGAAUGGCAUUGGAAACUGGGCAGCUAGAGUGCGGUAGAGGGUAGUGGAAGUCCCGGUGUAGCAGUGAAAUGCGUAGAGAUCGGGAGGAACAUCUGUGGCGAAGGCGACUGCCUGGACCAGCACUGACACUGAGGCACGAAAGCGUGGGGAGCAAACA